rnacentral:tRNA from 1 species
GCCGACGUAGCUCAGUUGGUAGAGCGGCUGAUUUGUAAUCAGCGGGUCGGGGGUUCGAGUCCCUUCGUCGGCU